rnacentral:sRNA from 1 species
ACUAAGCAGCAGAAUAAAAGGCUGGUAGCCAGAAUACUUCCAUCCACUCACAUCUUGAGGUGUCUACAGAGUCUGUCCUGCGUGCCACUCUGUUUCUGAGCAUCCACCAGCCAAGAUGUCCUGCCAGCAGAGCCAGCAGCAGUGCCAACCCCCUCCGAAGUGCACCCCUAAAUGCCCUCCCAAGUGCCAGACCCCAAAAUGCCCCCCAAAAUGUCCUCCUAAAUGUCCUCCCAAGUGCCCCCCUGUGUCUUCCUGCUGUAGCCUGGGUUCUGGGGGCUGCUGCAGCUCUGGUGGCUGCUGUGGCUCCAGCUCUGGUGGCUGCUGCAGCUCUGGAGGUGGAGGCUGCUGCCUGAGCCACAACAGACCCCGCAGAUCUCUCCGUCGCCAUCGCCACAGCUCUGGAUGCUGCAGCAGUGGUGGCAGCGGUGGCUGCUGUGGCAGCAGUGGUGGCAGCAGUGGCUGCUGUGACAGCAGUAGCUGCUGUGGUAGUGGCCAGCAGUCUGGGGAUUGCUGCUGACAUGGGUCAUGAAGACUUCAGACAAACAGUAAAAGAGGCAGCCGUGUUCAGAAGACCUGCUCCUGUCUGCUGCUCUGCCCUGCUCUUCCUGUGAUCUAAGCCCAGGAUCCAAUACUGAAAUCUAACUGUGUCAUUCAAAAAAUUUGUGGGGCUGGGGAUUUAGCUCAGUGGUAGAGCGCUUACCUAGGAAGCACAAGGCCCUGGGUUCGGUCCCCAGCUCCGAAAAAAAGAACCAAAAAAAAAUUUGUUCCCAUGUUGCUAUCCCCUUCUGUGUUUCAGAGUAAUAAAGCCUCCCCCAGUCA